AUGCGGGCACCUCCGCAAGGGCGCGCGGCUCGCGCGGCUCGCCCGGCUCGCGACUCCGCUGGCUCCGUGAGCCUCGCCUCGCCGGCCCCACGGUGUGGGGGGACCCAUGGCAACGUCGGAAUCAAUACAGCAACUUCACACGACGCGUGGAGGAUGUCGUCUCUUGUCGGUCGGCAUCGUCUCGUCUGCGUUUGUCUCUCGUCGUCGACGCGUGUCGAGUACGGCUCAGGCCGUCGUGCAUUCGCUCUGCCGUCCGUCUGCGGCGGAAGAAGAAUCUAGAAAGAAGACGACGUCCCGAUGAUGACUCUGCUGAAGGUCACCCGAUUCUCACUCGCUGCAGCAGCCAGCAGCAGCAGCGGCGGUGGCCAGCUCGUCUCCCCAAAUCAAGCCUCGCGACUCAGCAUGGCAGAUCCCCGGCCACACGCGCAUCAUCCUGCGGGGCAAAGGCUUCUUCCCCCCUGGCGUGAGAUGUCAAGUCUUCAAUGUCAACCGCGUGGCAACCAGCGUCACAUUUUGGAAAUUCCCCGCGCUGUCACUGCUUUAUUACUCACAAGCGAACACCUCGUGAAAGACCCACAUCAGCGGAUCUCUGGGUUCGACCUUUUACAAAGAUCAUGGCCCACCCUAAACCGCAUUCUGCACAAACCGUGGCGGAAAUAGAUGCCUGAUGCAAAACUCUCCAGUUUGCGACUGUGGGUCAUCCAGAACAGACCGUACAACAUUUAACGAUGCGAUGACCGAUCCACAAAUACAAAGGAGACAUCUCCGCAGCGAUACACUCCGUUGCUGCUCCUGACGCGGUUAUCUGGCUUGACCACCUGAAUGUGAAGUUGUAGUUGUUGCAUCGACAUCAUAUGAAAGAAGAUUGCUCAACUCGUCGAGCGCAUGUGCUUCUACUGGGUUGGUGAAGGUGGCGGUGCCCAGGGACCAGUGAAGACAUCACGACGCGAGCCGCUGGCUGGCCACGGAGCUCAGGUCGCCACACUCACAGCGGGGAGCACGCCAAC